rnacentral:lncRNA from 1 species
UCUCUUCUGAUAUUGACAUUGAAGACCACCAAACUCAGGUGCAACUUUACUCCUUUUCCAUCAUCUAACCAAAAUUUGAUAACAGUACUUGAACUAAAAAUCAUAAAAAUUAUUUGUCCUGAACAUAUGAAAAGUCAUCCAAAAGAGUUAAAGGGUCGUUUGGUAGGGAGCAUAUGAAUAGUGUAAAAUUUAAUGUAUUAGUAAUGGUAGUAUUGAUGUUUUUCGGGUACAAACUAUGUAUUGAAUACUCAGUUUUACUUUCCCUCCAUCUUUUAUUCAUAUUUCAUCACUUAUAUUCAUAUUUCAUCACUUAGAACUCAAUAAGUGCUCUCUCCAUCUCAAAUUACUCGUUUCAAAUUAAGAUGACAUAUUGAUUAAAAAAUAUAAUUAAUAACAUACCUAGUUUAUUAUAGUAUCCCUAUUAAAUGAUGUUUACAUUUUAAUUUAAAGAAAAAGUAAUUAAUACAAAGGGUAAAACAUAAAAAUUUUCUUUUGUCUCUUCUUGAUUAAUAAAAAAAAAAAAUAAGUAAAAUGAGAAAUCAAAUUAAAAAUUUUGGGACGGAGGGAGUAUUAUUUUGUUUGCAUUAAUUAUACUUGAGUAAAUACAUAAUUAAUCCCUGAUGUUGGUUGAGAUUUUCAAAAAAAACACCUAAAUUUUAACAUCGAUGUAUUACCCCACAAUUCUUCUUUAUUUCGUUGUAAACGCAUCAUUUUUUGUUGAAUCUCAGUUACAACAAAAUGAGUGAAGACGUGCGCCAAUCAGGUGCUGCCAUGUGUCAACUAUAUUUGAUUUCAUAUUUUUACCCCAUCAGCAUCUCCCCCUAACCCCCCAACUCCGUCAGCAUACAUUCCCUUUUUUUUUCUUUUUGUUCAAAUCACUUCAAAAAAUAAUUUUAUGAUUGAAUUGAAAGUUUUAUGAUUGAAUUGAGUUUUAAAGAUAGUUAAAUGAUAUGAUCUACCUGAAAAUAGAGUUUUAAUGAUAUGAUUUAAAAAUAAAAAAACUUCAAUGGAGGAACUUUAAUGGUGACAUUGUGUUGAAGAGUUUUAAUGGUGUUGAAGAAGACAUUGUGUUGAAGAAGAAAUGAUUGGUAGUUAAAUGAUAUGAUUUAAUUGUAAAAUGGAGUUUUAAUGAAUGCUUUUGUUUUAAAAAAAAAAUUCAAUGGAAGCUUUAAUGGGGAAUUGAGUUGAAGAAAAAAGAGUGGAUGGAUUGGGGGCGGAGAGGGGGUAGGGAUAAUUUACUAAUGUUACCAAUCGUGUUAUAUUGUUCCUGAUUCAACUGCUUUGCUCGGAAGCACAAAGUGGUAGACAAUUUCAUAUUAAUUUGUGGAAUGAUUAUUGUCUCAUUAUAUGAUUUUGGAGAACUUCUUUUAACUAGUUUUUAAGGUUGAGUUUCGACAAACAUGUAUGAUGUAAUUUUGAGCAAUCCUUACUAAAAGCUAAGUUAGUCUAACCCAAUAUUCCAUUUCUAAACAAGUAACGAAACUUUCAGAAUGAACAAUUUCUCUUACCUUAUUGUUUAUUAUUCAGUGUGCAAUUCUUUGUUAGGUGGUGAAAGGAGCUAACAGGAGGCUCUUGCCCUAUGUAGGUAAAUCAUCAAUUUCUCAACCUAUUAUCAUAAUUAAAAAGGAAAAGAAUAGAGUCCGUUUAAGUUAAUUGAUAAAGUUUAAGUGCUGAAAAGUAUUUUUAAAUGGUGAAAUUGAUUUUACAAAUAAGUGGUUAUAUUUGUUAAUAUUUGGAUAGAAAUAUUGAAGCAAAUAAUAAUCAACGUUUUGUUAGAAAGUAUCGAUAAAAUAUAUUUUUUUUUGGGUAAAGCGACUAAAAUACCCAUAGAACUUCUACAAAAACUAUAGAUUUACAAGUAUCCUUUCAAAUAAAAAGGGAAAAUACAUGUACAAAAUGAAGAGAAAAAACUAGGAAUUUUAUUUUGAAUCAUAUUGCUAGAAUUAGAAAAAAUAUUAAAGAUAGAACAAUAAUUUUAUUUUUGUUAAACUAAAAAUGCUUAUUAGCGGAACAAUCGUUAGUUAAGACUUAAGAAUGAUCAACUUAUGACCUUUGAGUAGUGAUUUUAUAAAUCAUCGUUUGACCAACUUAUAAGUUUAGUCAAACAUUAUUUUUCUUUGGCAAAAUGACGUUCUGGAUCCUGUACUAUGUUCGUUUUGUAAGUUAGACACUUCUAUUUACAUAUUUAUCAUCUGCACCCUUGAACCCACUAAAAAACAAUAUUUUAAACCCUUUGAUCGUUGACCUGAUCUAUGUGGCAUUAAAAUUUCUGACUAGGAUCAAAUUCGUGUAGUCAUGCGUGUAUGAGUGACUGAAGCACGUUUUUUCAGCUUUUUAAAUUUAAAAAUAUUUUUAAAAAUUUUAAAAAUAAUUCUUUUUAAAAAUUCAAUAUUUUUUCAGUUUUUAAAAUUUAAAAAUGUUUUUUAAAAAUUAAAAAAAAAUAUUUAAAAAAUAAAUANNNNNNNNNNNNNNNNNNNNNNNNNNNNNNNNNNNNNNNNNNNNNNNNNNNNNNNNNNNNNNNNNNNNNNNNNNNNNNNNNNNNNNNNNNNNNNNNNNNNNNNNNNNNNNNNNNNNNNNNNNNNNNNNNNNNNNNNNNNNUCUCCUCAUCCCCCCACCCCGUCUUUCACCCUCCCCCAAGAAACACAACCAUCAACACCAGCGUUCCGCCCCCCAUCCCACUACAGCAUUACAAAAUCUCAUCAAGACCACAACAUUACAAAACCCAAUUACAAAAGUUUUUUUUCUCUUCGAUUCCAUUAGCAACAGCUUUGGUCAAUUUUGUGUUAAAUUUCAUCCACCCUCACCCUAUGUACAACCCUGUCUAACGCCCCUUCUUCACAACAGCCUCCUCCAGCAACCAUGACAACCUUCAACAUUUUUUUUUUAAAAGAGUCAAGUGGCUUUCCGCUCCUCUCCCGGUCCAGUAGUUCCGGAACAAAAGGAUCAAAACCUUCCACGCCGGAAUGAGAGGUCGAUGGCCUUCUUUCUAUUCGAAUUUGAACCCGAAGUAGGAUUCGAACUUAAAAUGGUGAAAUCAUUAAGAUGAAAAUUGAAUAUUCAAGAUUAUGAAAAAAAUGGGUAAGUAAUGGAAACUCAAAUUUUUUGCAAUGGUGAUGGAAAAAGAAAAGAUACCUUUAGGUGAAAGAAAAUGGGGAUUGUAAUGGUGCCAGUGGAAGGGGGAGGGAAGCGGGUGGCUUUUAUGUUAUUUUAAUUUUUUUUAAAAUUGUUUUAAUGUAAUUAUGAUAAAAAAAAAAAUCAAAUUUGAAAAUUCAUUUUUAAACUUUUCCUCUCAAUUCAAAUCUUUUCAUAUUUUAUUUUUAGAAUUUUUCCUUUCAAUUCAAAUCUUUUCAUAUUUUUUUGGAAUUAAAAUUUAAAUUUGAAAAUUUUUCAUAUUUUUUGGGACUAAAAUUUAAAUUUGAAUCGAAAGUGAGUGAUAGUAGAUAUUGAAAAAUUAGUGAAUUUUAUGAAUAAAUUUGAAAAAACUUAAAGCUUUUGUGAAUUUAUUAAAGAUAUUCAAAUUUAAAAAUUGAAAAUUCAUUAUGUUUGUAUAUAUGAAUUUAUAGUUAAAAAUUUAAAUUAGUUGGAGAAGAAUUUUAAUUAGUUAGAAUGAAUUUGAUGUUUAAUUUGUAAGGAAAAAUAAAAACAUGAUUAUUUAAAAUUUUCUACAAUUUAUAAUUUUUUUUAUUUAAUUAAAUUAACUUUAAUAUUUAAUUUGUUAUGUAACAUUUUAAAAAUGUCUUGAAAUUUAAUGAAAUACUUGAAAAUGACGUGACAGAUAACGUGGCACACGUGACAGUUGAUGUGGCAGCUGGCGUGGGAGUGUGUUACACUCUCCAAAAAAGUAUUUAAAAUAUUGUUUUUUAGUGGAUUCAGGGGUCCAGAUGACAAACAUGUAAAUAGAAGUGUCCAACUUACAAAAUGGAUAUAGUUCAGAGGUUCAGAAGGUCAUUUUGCCUUUUUCUUUAAAAAGAGUGUUUUAGGGACUAUUUUGGGAAACCCAGAUUGUGGAGGACUGUGCAAAGUGAGAUGCAGCCGGCACUCAAUGCCAAAUUUAUGCAGCAGGCAUGUGGGACUUGCUGUGUGAGGUGCAAAUGUGUUCCACCAGGCACUUAUGGUAACAGAAGUUUGUGGCAAGUGCUACAGACACAUGACUACUCAUGGAAGCAAGACCAAGUGCCCUUAAUUAAGGCUACUAUAGUACUCAAUCUUGUCUACAAUUUUCCCAAGUUUUUAGAAGAAACAGUGAGAAUAUGUGUUUUGAGAUGAUGUAAUGUUGUGAUGGUGGUCCUCUAAUACAGAGAAGUUUUGUUUAGGUUUACAAUUUUAAUGUUCGAUGUUUUAAUCUUCACGACUAGUCUGUUUUUGUUGAAUCGCACCUUAUAAUUCACAAGUCAAGUUUAAAGUAAUGUUCUUAAAUUUAUACCAUCAAUUCAGAAAAGAGAGGUUUUGAGUGACUAUUAUAUUAUUUUUAAUUGAGCUGAGGAUCUAUCUCUCUGUAUCCACGCACUAAAGAAGGGAUAAUAUUUUCAUGAUGCACUCUACACCUUAAAUUAAAAUUGUGUCAAAUAUAUCAAAAUGCUCUUUAAUCUUGCGGUUCAAAAUAACAAUCUUGUGGUUCAAAAUAUGUUAUGUGAAAAAUUGAAAUUAAAAUAUUGCAAAAAAAAAAAGAGUCAUUCUUUUUAAAAUAGACUAAAAAGAAAAAUAGUAUUAUAAAUGUAUUUACAUUAUAGUGAAUGUCUAUUAAGAUCUACUUGAUAUCUAUUAGGAUUUGAAAAUCUACUUUAAUAUCUAUUAGGAUUUGAAUCAUCCGUCUUUUACUUAGACUAGGAGUAAAUUUUCCCUAUAAAUAGAGAGGUUUUAUUCAUUGUAUUUACAAUCUGAUGAUCUCUCAUCCCUCAAGAGAAGAAAUAAGAAUCACUCUCUCUAUUCUCUAUUCUCUUUACUCUUCUUCUUUAUUCUUUCUUGUUUUAUAACACGUUAUCAGCACGAGACUCUGCCAAAUAAGGUGAGAUUAUAAAUCUAAGGGAUUUCAAGGUUAGUAAUUUUUUAUGUUAUCUUUCUUUUGCUACUACUAAUAUAAUUAUUAUUGGAUUUGAGGAAAAAUAAUUGGUUUAAAACCAUUUAUAUUUUGAAUUUAUUUCUCAAGAACAAUAUUAUCAAAAGAGAUAAUACUAUGUUGGGUUUAAGUCCCAUAGAUUUAUGCCUAAGACACUUUUAUAUGGAUAAGAUGUUGAGUUUGAAUCUCAAUGCACCAUAUUGAUAUACUAUGAUGACUAAGGCAAAAUAAUGGGUAUUUGAUGAAAAGUCAUGAAAUUCAACCUAUUAAAUAUGCUCCAUUCCAUAAAGUGAAUGUGGUAGCAAUAUAUGAUAAGUCUGAAAUAUGACAACUUACUUCAUUCUUGAGGUGUAUGUGGUAGCAGUGCAUAAUAUGUCUAAAAAAAGACAAGUGAUUGAAUGCACGAAUAUAUGCGUGGAGGGACAAUAUGAUAAUGAUCAUCAAAAGUGAUGAUAUUUUCACACGCUUAUAUGAUUAUAAGAUAUGCUAGAGAAAAAUUCUCUACAUCAUAUGUAUGCCUCGAUUUGCUUCUGACCUCCGAAAGAGGUUGAAUAAUUUUGAAAUCUACUUCUGAAGUAGUAAAUCUGAAAUUUAUUCAUGUAAUAGUAAAUCUGUAAUUUACUAAAGAAAAAGUAUAUGUCAUGGUAAACUUGAAGUUUACUAGAAUAAAAGUUCAUAAAUUGCUAUGAACGAUUGUGACAUCUCGAAGAUGUGCAUAUAUUAAAGAACUAGAAGAUUCUUCAAGAAUUGUUUAUGUCGUUUGUUCUCAUGACAAGUUGGUUGGACCAACUAAUAUUGGGAUUGGAUCCCUUCAAAUUUGAAAAUUAUAAAUGGUGAAUAAGGGUUCGUUCACCUAUCAUGUGAUAUGUUGAAAAGAUGCAUCAAUAAGAUGAUCACAUGUACAUUCAUGGUUAACCUACUUUUGACAUUCAUAAAGUUACUUGUUCAAUAUAAAUUGAGCAUAAUUUUCAUAUUGUGCAAUCAAGAAAGUUAUCUUGAUGAUGAUAGUUUGGCAUUGAAUGCAUUCGAUAAAUAACUAAACCAUCUCUAAUGAAAACAAAGCUUCAUGUGUUGGUCUGAAAUAUGAUAUAUACAAUAACACUUGUAUGCAUUAGACCAAUAAAUUAUGAUUAUUUUUUUCCUCUCAAUUGGUUCAAGGUUGGGAACCAAUUAUUCCAUCUAAUAAUUUUGAUGUGUGGUAUGUGAUUAAUGAAUAUACCACAAUGCACAAAGAUGAAUUCCUCAAAGAAGUAGAGGAUGUAUGCUAGUUUUCUUAACAUAAGGGGGAGAUUAUAAGCGCUAUGAAAUAUGUUAGGAAUUAUCACCAGAUCCUCAUCCAAAAGAUAAUUCAAGUCAAAUGCUGAAAGCAUCCCAUAUUAAGCGCAAGUGCUCUUAUUUUGUAUUCCUAAAGGAUAGAGUCUAUGCAUGCGUGAAGCGUGGUAGAUUAAUCGAUUCCAAAUGAAAUAGUUCUUGCAAAAUAAGGAGAAAAUAAUCAUAAUAAGAAGGUAAUGAGCUCUUGAAGAGCCUGCGACAUAACACUUCAUGAAACCUUAUGUAAGGUUCAUGUGCCUGAAAAUAAUGAAGAGAUGAGAUCUCAAAAUGUCAUGUCGCAUUGUGAACCGAUACAAAAUGAUAUAUCAUCAAUAUCUUUGACACAAUAUUNNNNNNNNNNNNNNNNNNNNNNNNNNNNNNNNNNNNNNNNNNNNNNNNNNNNNNNNNNNNNNNNNNNNNNNNNNNNNNNNNNNNNNNNNNNNNNNNNNNNNNNNNNNNNNNNNNNNNNNNNNNNNNNNNNNNNNNNNNNNNNNNNNNNNNNNNNNNNNNNNNNNNNNNNNNNNNNNNNNNNNNNNNNNNNNNNNNNNNNNNNNNNNNNNNNNNNNNNNNNNNAAAUAUAUCGAAUUGGAUUGGUUAUGAAGUACUAUAUUUUAGUGCAAUUGAUGCACUCAUGUACCUUGCAAAUACUACAAGGCCUAUAGCCUUUUCAGUCAAUUUGUUAGCAAGGUAUAUUUCUACUUCUACCUUGAGAUAUCAAAAUGGGAUAAAACACAUGAGCUUAUUUUAUUUUAAAGAUUGCAGUCCCGAUCUUAUUGGUAAUGCUGAUGAUGGGUACUUAUCUGACCCGCAUAAAUCUCGGUCUCAAAUAGGCUAUGUGUUCAUAUGUGGUGGUACUGCCAUAUCUUGGAGAUUUACAAAUCAGUCUAUCGUAGCUACUUCAUCGAAUCAUGCUGAGAUAAUAGCUAUUCAUGAAGUAAGCCGAGAAUGUGUAUGGUUGAGGUCCAUGAUACAUCUCAGUCGAGAAAAAUGUGGUGUGAAAUAUGACAAUCUACCCACAAUUUUAUAUAGAGAUAAUUCAGCAUACAUAGCACAUCUUAAGGGAAGAUUCAUAAAUGGAGAUAGAACGAAGCACAUUUUGCCAAAGCUUUUCUACAUACGUGAGCUACAAAAGAAUGAUGAUAUUAAUGUGUAACAAAUUUGUUCAACUGACAAUGUGACUGAUUUGUUCACCAAAUCUUCUCCAAUUGCAACUUUCAAGAAGAUGCUGCACAAGAUUGAGAUGCAAAGGUCAAGGAUAUUCUCAUUAGGGAGAGUUAAUACGCGCUUUACUCUUUUUCCCUUACGAGGUUUUGUCCCACUGGGUUUUCCUUGUAAGGUUUUUAAUGAGGCAUCCGAAAUACGUAUUAUUAGAGAUGUGUACUCUUUUUGCUUCACUAGAUUUUUUAUCCUACUAGGUUUUUUCUAGUGAGGUUUUAACGAGGCACAUUAUCUACCAAUUAGACAUUCAAGGGGGAGUGUUAUAAAUGUAUUUACAUUAUAGUGAAUGUCUAUCAAGAUCUAUCAAGAUCUACUUUGAUAUCUAUUAGGAUUUGAAGCAUCCAUCUUUUACUCAGACUAGAGUAAAUUUUCCUAUAAAUAGAGGGGUUUUGUUGAUUGUAUUUAUAAUCUGAUGAUCUCUCAUCCCUCAAGAGAAAAAAUAAGAAUCACUCUCUCUAUUCUCUUUACUCUUCUUCUUUAUUUGUUCUUGUUUUAUAACAAAUAGAUCAUUCCUUUUGAAACGGAGUACAUACUUAACAAUAUAACAAGAAAAUUUUUAGCAUGUGAUAGCAGGUUAGUCCUGUGCAAUUACUUUAUAAGUGGUAUAACCGUAUAAUUGUACAAAUAUUUCAAACUUAUCAGUUUAAGAUAUUAAAUUCUAGAUACUGGAUGAGUUUAAAAUAUGUAUACAAUUAUACCACUUAUAUAAGGUAAUGCGCAUAACAUGUUAGAUUUCCCAGCACUCAUUUCUGUUUUAUAUAAGAAAAGAAAUGUUUAGAUACUCCACACUUUCCAGUUAAUGUGGCAAGUUUAAAAUACGUACACAAUUAUACCACUUAUAAGGUUAUUGCACAUAACAUGUUAGAUUUCCCAGCACUCAUUUAUGUUUUAUAUAAGAAAUAUCUGAAUACUCCACACUUUCCAGUUAAUGUUGCAUUGUUUUAAUCAUUUUCAAAGGGAACUUUAAAAAGCACUUCCAUUUGUUUUAGUCUUAAUGGGAAAUUUUUAUAGCCACACAAAUAUUAAUUGAUAUUUAAGAAAACUUUAAGAUGUUAUAAUUAAGGAUGUCAUACCAACAUAAUCAUCAAAUUGCAAGAAGCAAUGCUUGAAAAAAACAUUCGAUGAAACAUAUAUGCAGAAGAAAAAAAGAGGAUUGGGAAAAUCAGUUGAAAAAGAUUAGUUAUACGCAGGGCCAAAGAUAAAAGAGAAGUUGAUAGGAUUGUAAUAGAGUUAUUUUUUGAGGAUGAAGUAGCAAAGUGCUUAAAUAGAAAGAUUGUGCGCAGGUAAUUUUGUUUUAGGAUUAAGACGUAGUUAUUACUGGAUUUUAUCCUACACAGAGAGUAAAAAUUGUCAAAGGAUCAACGUUACAUUAUAUUGUUCUGAGGUCAUCAUCUGAUACCAUGAGGCUCAAGAUCCAAAUUUGCGAGGUGACAAACAAAAAUCUAGAAUACAUUGAAAUCGAAAAUUUGAUUAGUUUAAUCAGAGAAUUUGUAAAUCAAUUGACCAGUCUAUCGACCAUCAACAAAGUUUAACCUAAUUCGUUGGUCUAUAUUGAGCUAAACCAUUGAAAUAAUACUAACAAUAAAUUAAACUACAUUGGAUAGCAAGGUAAUCAAGAAUUUGUGUACUUCAUCUAGAAAAUCAGACUACGACUUUCCACAAAUUCAUUUGUGGACUUGUCAGAGCUACCUCCUUCACUAACUGUUUUGUUAGCAUUUCUUAGCGUUUCGAGCUGAUUGCACAAUGACACAAUGAGUCCUUUUCCUUUUGUCGAUUCUAUGAAUUCUUUAGGCAAUUUGCAUUUUUCAGUAUCUCUUACAGUCCAAAGGAAAUUCAUUGCUGCCUAUUAAAGCAUAUGCCAUUUCUUCCAUUUGUUUUGGUGUGCGUGAUACCAUGCUUCCAAAGGAAAUGUAGAUUACUGAUUGAUUUGCCUUUGUAUUUAGCCAAUUGAGACAUUCUUCACUAAGGGGUUUCAAACACUUGCUCCAUGCCCUUUGUAACCUUCUAUUCUUCCAUCCAAAUAUGAUGAUGGGCACCAUUGGUCCUAUCAACUUUGCGGGCAAAAACUCUGAAACUCCACUUGCUCUCUGAAAUUAUACAUACCAAGUAAAAAAGAAAAAAGAUCUAUUAAUUUGAUACUCCCUCCGUUCCAAAUUACCCGUCCCAGAUUUCCUAAUUUAAUUUCCCGUUUUACUUGUCUUUUUUCAUUAAGACAAUUCCUUUUUUUUUUUUUUUUUCAUGUUUUACCCUUUGCAUUAAUUACUUUUUCUUUAAAUUAAAAUGUAAACAUUAUUUAAUAGGGGUACUAUAGUAAACUAGCUAUAUUAUUAAUUCUUUUUCUUAAUCAAUGUGUCAUCUCAAUGUAGAACGGAUAAUUUGGAACGAAGAGAGUAAUUUUUUUUUUUUGUUCAAUCAUUUGGUAUUCGAAUUCCAUUGAACUUGGAGACAUUAUUCAUUCAGAAAUUUAUGCAGAAUGACAGCUCACUACAAUUAUUUAUAAUUAAAAUGGCUCAAUUUUAUAAUAUGAUUUCGAAAACAACCUCUCUACUUCUUCGGAGGGAGAGAUAUGAAUUGCGUACAUCUUACCCUUCUCAUGCCCCACUCUGUGAAAAUACACUGAAUUUGUUGUUAUUGUUCUUAUAUGAUUCGAACUAGCCCGAUUUUUUCAUUUUCGGUAAGUAACACACAAAUAAAUUAGGCAAAAUGAUCUUCUGGACCCUUAUACUAUGUCGAUUUUGUAAGUUGAAUACCUCUACUUACAUGUUUGUCAUUUGGACCCCUGAACCCACAAAAAAGUAAUAUUUUAAACACUUUUUUGGUGAGUGUAAUACACUCUCGCCACGUCAGCUGCCAUGUCAUCUUCCACGUCAUUUUUAUAUAUAAAAAUAUUAAAUAUUAAAGUUGAUAACUAAAUAAAUAAAUAAAAACAAUCUCCCCACCCCCCACCUUCUUCCUCUCUUCUCUCUCUUCCCCUUUUCUUUCUCUUUCCCCGAUUCUUCUCCUUCUCUCUCUUUUUUCUUCUGUUUCUACUCUCUUUCUCUUCUCUUCUUCUUUUCUUCUCUUGCGUUUCUCUUCUUUUCUUUAUUCCACUUCUAAUGAAUCAAAAAAUGCAAUUAAAAUUGUUAGAUUUUAUAUAUAAAAAAAUCAUAUGAAUUCAAGAUCCAUAAUACCCAUUUUAUAUACUGAUUAUUUUAGUUAUUUGGUGUGAAAUUUUAGAUUUUUUUUUGUUAGCAGGUUAUUCCAUGGUAAAAUAAUGAACAUCUUUGGUUUUAUUCCUCUUCUUGAAUUUGUUUGAUCAGUUAAAUUAAGAGUAACUUAUGUCUUUGAGAUUUUGUUAGUAGAUUAUGAUUUCAUGGUAAAAUUGAAAUGAAAUUGAAAUUUGAGAUUUUUUUUCCUGAAUUGAUUCCAUGAUGUUUGGUUUGAAUUGAUUCCAUGGUAUUUGUGAUGCUGCAAUCAGGUAGGGUGGGGGCGGAAUGCUAGUGUGGUGGUGGUUGUGUUGCUUGGAGAGCGUGGAAGACGAGGUGGAGGAUGACGAGAGGGUAGAGGACGGGGGAACGGGGUGGGGGACGGGGAGGGUGCUGGAUGGGCGGUUGGGGGAGGGGGAGGGCCUUUUUUUAAUUUUACUUUUUAAAAAUAUUAUUUUUAAAAUUUUUAAAAAUAUUUUUAAAAUUAAAAAGCUGAAAAAAUGUUAAAUUUUUAAAAAAUAUCUUUUUUUAAUUUUUAAAAUUAUUUUUAAAUUUAAAAAGCUGAAAAAAUGUGCCUCACUCUCUCAGACUCGCGUGACUAGACGCGUUUUAGCUUAGUCAGCACUUUUAAUGCCACAUAGAUUGAGUCAACGGUCAAGGGUUUAAAAUAUUAAAUUUUAUUGAGUUGAAGAGUUCACAUGACAAACAUGUAAGUAGAAAUAUUCAACUUACAAAAUCAACAUAGUACAGGGGUCCAGAAGGUCAUUUUGCCAAUAAAUUACUUACCUCUAUGUUACCUAUUCUCUCUCUCUUACACACAAUUACUACACACAUUCAUCUCUCUCACCUUUACUCUUUUAUGCCUUUUUUUUCUCCCUUUCUUGUUCAAAUCUCUCUAAUUUUCGUAAGCUUGAGCAUCAAAUUAGGUAAAAUUUCUUCUUCUUUUUUAAUUAUUUGUUGUUAUUAAUCAAAGUAUGCUCAUUUUCUUCGAUUUAAGCUUCAAAUUAGGUUACUUAAAUGUUUAUUUGGUUAAUUUUUGUGUUGUUAAAGUUCAUUUGGCCUUGAUGUGAGCUUCCCUGUGUUUAAUUCAUCAUUAUUUGUUGAUUAUUUGAUGUUAUUGAUCAGCAUUUUCCUUCAAUUUUAGGUUUAUUUUGAGCUUCCCUGAGCAUUUUGGUAGUGAGAUUUGUCGAAAAAGCUGGUUGGAGCUCCAAUGUUGGCAACAGUUAGUACCUCGAUGGUUAAUAAAUCUUUUGAUCAUAAUCUGUUUGAUCAUACAAUUGAAAAAAUUGUUGUUUUAAAUUUAUUUUCAAAUAUCUGUUUGAUUAUAAAAUUUGAUCACAUUUCAAAAUACUAUCUUCAAAUAUUUGUUUAAUGAUAAAAUUUGAUCAGAUUUUAGUUUAUCUUUAAAUAUCUGUUUGAUAAUAAAAUUUGAUUAGAUUUUAAAAUUAUCUUUAAAGUAUUUUCAAGUCCAAAAAUUGGCUAAAGAUAAGUUUUUAAGAGAAAUUUCACUUCCACGCUCAAAGCUUCAAUUUUUUUUUUUUCCAAGUAAAAUGCACGUUCAAACACGA